GGUUGGAUGGCCUAAUGGUAAGGCGUUGGUUUCCGGCGCUACGCAACGGCGUAUAGCAUCAGCUAGAAUACCAAAGAUUGCGGGUUCGAGUCCCGUUCUGAUCG